AUCGAACGCUGGCGGCAGGCCUAACACAUGCAAGUCGAGCGAGCGGCGGACGGGUGAGUAAUGUAUGGGGACUGCCCGAUAGAGGGGUAUAACUACUGGAAACGGUGGCUAAUACCGCAUACUAUCGGAUAACCCAUAUGGGAUUAGCUAGUAGGUGGGGUAAAGGCUCACCUAGGCGACGAUCUCUAGCUGGUCUGAGAGGAUGAUCAGCCACACUGGGACUGAGACACGGCCCAGACUCCUAGGGAGGCAGCAGUGGGGAAUAUUGCACAAGGGGCGAAAGCCUGAUGGAGCAAUGCCGCGUGUAUGAAGAAGGCCUUAGGGUUGUAAAGUACUUUCAGCGGGGAGGCGUUACCCGCAGAGAAAGCAACGGCUAACUCCGUGCCAGCAGCCGCGGUAAUUC
rnacentral:rRNA from 1 species